rnacentral:misc_RNA from 1 species
GCUGAAGGAAAAACAAAAUAUGUCAUACGUCCGUAUACUCCUAUAUCAGACCCAGAUGCUAAGGGAUAUUUUGACCUAUUAAUUAAGGUUUAUCCUGAGGGAAAAAUGAGUCAGCAUUUUGCCAGCUUAAAGCCUGGCGAUGUUGUUGAAGUUAAAGGGCCCAUUGAAAAGAUCAGAUAUUCUCCCAAUAUGAAGAAACACAUUGGCAUGAUUGCAGGUGGAACAGGCAUUACUCCAAUGCUUCAAGUAAUUGAGGCUAUCCUUAAGAAUCCC